CGAACGCUGGCGGCAGGCUUAACACAUCCAAGUCGAGCGGACCUUUCGGGGUCAGCGGCGGACGGGUGAGUAACGCGUGGGAACGUGCCUUCCGGUUCGGAAUAACCCUGGGAAACUAGGGCUAAUACCGGAUACGCCCUUAUGGGGAAAGGUUUACUGCCGGAAGAUCGGCCCGCGUCUGAUUAGCUAGUUGGUGGGGUAACGGCCUACCAAGGCGACGAUCAGUAGCUGGUCUGAGAGGAUGAUCAGCCACACUGGGACUGAGACACGGCCCAGACUCCUACGGGAGGCAGCAGUGGGGAAUAUUGGACAAUGGGCGCAAGCCUGAUCCAGCCAUGCCGCGUGAGUGAUGAAGGCCUUAGGGUUGUAAAGCUCUUUUAUCCGGGACGAUAAUGACGGUACCGGAGGAAUAAGCCCCGGCUAACUUCGU
rnacentral:rRNA from 1 species